CAGUCGAGCGGUAGCACAGAGAGCUUGCUCUCGGGUGACGAGCGGCGGACGGGUGAGUAAUGUCUGGGAAACUGCCUGAUGGAGGGGGAUAACUACUGGAAACGGUAGCUAAUACCGCAUAACGUCGCAAGACCAAAGUGGGGGACCUUCGGGCCUCAUGCCAUCAGAUGUGCCCAGAUGGGAUUAGCUAGUAGGUGGGGUAACGGCUCACCUAGGCGACGAUCCCUAGCUGGUCUGAGAGGAUGACCAGCCACACUGGAACUGAGACACGGUCCAGACUCCUACGGGAGGCAGCAGUGGGGAAUAUUGCACAAUGGGCGCAAGCCUGAUGCAGCCAUGCCGCGUGUGUGAAGAAGGCCUUCGGGUUGUAAAGCACUUUCAGCGAGGAGGAAGGCGUUGAGGUUAAUAACCUCAUCGAUUGACGUUACCCGCAGAAGAAGCACCGGCUAACUCCGUGCCAGCAGCCGCGGUAAUACGGAGGGUGCAAGCGUUAAUCGGAAUUACUGGGCGUAAAGCGCACGCAGGCGGUCUGUCAAGUCAGAUGUGAAAUCCCCGGGCUCAACCUGGGAACUGCAUUCGAAACUGGCAGGCUAGAGUCUUGUAGAGGGGGGUAGAAUUCCAGGUGUAGCGGUGAAAUGCGUAGAGAUCUGGAGGAAUACCGGUGGCGAAGGCGGCCCCCUGGACAAAGACUGACGCUCAGGUGCGAAAGCGUGGGGAGCAAACAGGAUUAGAUACCCUGGUAGUCCACGCCGUAAACGAUGUCUAUUUGGAGGUUGUGCCCUUGAGGCGUGGCUUCCGGAGCUAACGCGUUAAAUCGACCGCCUGGGGAGUACGGCCGCAAGGUUAAAACUCAAAUGAAUUGACGGGGGCCCGCACAAGCGGUGGAGCAUGUGGUUUAAUUCGAUGCAACGCGAAGAACCUUACCUGGUCUUGACAUCCACAGAACUUUCCAGAGAUGCAUUGGUGCCUUCGGGAACUGUGAAACAGGUGCUGCAUGGCUGUCGUCAGCUCGUGUUGUGAAAUGUUGGGUUAAGUCCCGCAACGAGCGCAACCCUUAUCCUUUGUUGCCAGCGGUUCGGCCGGGAACUCAAAGGAAACUGCCAGUGAUAAACUGGAAGGAAGGUGGGGAAUGACGUCAAGUCAUCAUGGCCCUUUACGACCAG
rnacentral:rRNA from 1 species